AGUAAGUCCCUCAGGCAAACCCUCUUCACCCUUGGCCUCAAAGGAAGCUACAAAAAAGAUUUAACAGUUCAUUAAAGUUCAGUAAAACAGUUCCCGCAAUGCCCAGUCACCUGAAGGAGACAGGUCUGUGUUGGAGGGUAAAAAAAAAAAAAGUAAUAAUUAGACAACAAAACCGGGGGAGGAAAAAGGACCCACAAGGACAAGCGAGUGUUGAUGACAUCCCCCCCCCCUUAAGAAUAGUGCAAUGUCAUAUAUCACAGUUGUAGAACUAUGGUCAAAUUAUAGUAUAUUUAUAAUAUCCUCACUCAAUAUCAUCAUCAAUAUACAUCCAAGUCAAUGAUACUAAAGAUCUUUAAUAAUAAUAUUAAUAAUACUUUAAUAUGUAAGAAUUGUCAAGAUUUUUUUAUUAUGAAUAAAACUGUUUAAUGAAAUUGGGAAUUGAAGUGAUAAAUGACAAUGUAAAUCUAUUUGGCAAGUUUAAUCUAAUGUACUUAACUACGUCUGAAAUAAAGUUUAAAAAAACCACCAGGCCAUUUUUUCCUGAUUACUAGACUAUUAUCAUCAUGAAUCAAAUCUGCACACAAUACACUUCUUGAAACCUCCAGUAAAUAUAAUUUAAACUAAUUUCAAGUUUUACAAUUUAUUUAAAAAUCCUUCACUGAUUAAGAUUAUUAUUAUUAGGGGGGAAAGAUUUUUAAAGUUAUAACACAUGCAGUUAACACCAAUACCCACACCUAAACCGAAGACAUAAUAAAUAAAUUAAAAAUUAUAAAAGCAAUUGGGCCAGAGUUCAAAAAAUACAAAAAAAAACAUUGUGCAUAAAACUUAAAACAGUUUUCAGUCACCAAAGGUUCAUGAUUAAUGAAAAAAAUUGGAAUAACACAUAAAUAUUUGAACAAAACGGUAUUUAAAUAUCUAGAUAACAAACAGUGCAGACUAGUAAAGAAAUACUACUGACAACACCAUUCAAUUUUAGAAAGCCUGUAAAAUCUUUAAAUUUUUAAUUUUAGUAAUGUUUUGAAUUUCGUAAUUUCUUAUAAAUUCAAAAAUUAUAUUUAUGUAAACAUACAUUAUAAGUGUAUGAGACGUAAGAUUUAUGCAAGGCCAGACCAUUAUAAUCUCUGCUUCUUAGAAAUUGGUCAGAUAACAAAUAAAAAAAUAAUAAAAUUUAUUCUAUUUCCUAUUAUAAAUAGUGAUAAAUUGUUAAUAAAUAAUUACUAAUAAAUUAUUUCACAGCAUUUGGUGCAAAGAAUAAGCCAACAAUGCAAAACAUUUUGAGGCUCCUACAAAUUGAAAUUCAGUGUUGGCCCAAAAAAUGCUUAGACUACUAAUUUCAAAAAGAUGUAAUAUGCGGGAAGUUUUACCCACAUUUCAUCACUAUUUGCUUAUAUCUAAACGCAAAUAAAAUAGUGCAUUGCUCAUUUAUUUAUAUACGUAAUGUAUAUUCAACAGUUAUAUCACAAACUGGCCAAAAUCAAAUAAGGCAUGCUUGGUUAAACAUUAUAGGUUUUUUUAAAACUGUUCCAGCACCAGCGCAAGGCUUCACAGUGCAGUAAUAAGCACACACAAAAAUACAUUGGCUUCUGUCUAAAUUCAUGCCAAUAACAAAAUCUUUUGUUUUUAUUUAAUUAAAUCGACAAAACAGACAUGCAAUAAACUGAAUUAAAUAGAAAAAAAAAAAAAAACAAGAAAAAAAACAAUAUAAUGUUUUCCUAAACCAUAAUCCAGUAAAACUCUUUUGGACUGCAUUGAUAUCCAUACCUCCCGAUAAAAUAAACAAAUACAUACCGAUACAUUCAAAAUAAUUAAGUAUUAAAAAUAAAUAAAUAACAUAGAUAUUUAAUAACACAGUGCAGAUUCAAACGCACCAUUGUGUGACACACUAAUAUAUAA